UUUAAAAGAGCGGAAAAAAAAUCGAAAUUAACUCGGACCCCAGGCACCUUAAAACCGCAACCACUUUCUUCAAACUCGAGGUCGCUCAGUCACCGGCGGCGGAGCGAAGUUUUCUCUUUUGGUUGAGCUGUUGUUCGAUUUGGUAGUGUUAGGUUUUGAGGGUCAUGGCAGAGAGAGAGGAAGACUUGCCAAGGGAUGCAAAAAUUGUGAAGUCAUUGUUAAGAUCUAUGGGUGUUGAGGAGCACGAGCCCCGUGUUGUGCACCAAUUUCUGGAGCUGUGGUAUAGAUAUGUUGUAGACAUCUUGACGGAUGCACAAGUUUACUCAGAAUAUGCUGGAAAAGACACAAUUGACUCUGAUGAUACAAAGCUUGCCAUCCAAUCAAAAGCGAAUUCCAGCUUCUCACAACCACCACCACGAGAGUUUUUUUUGGAGAUGGCUAGAAAUAAGAACAAAACACCGCUACCAAAAACUUUUGGAGGCGCUGGAAUCCCACUUCCACCUGAAGAAGAUACCCUGAUUAGCCCUAACUACCAGCUAGUGAUACCAAAUAUGCAAAACCCCCUGGCACUAGAGGAAACAGAAGAAGAGGCUGAUGCUCCUAGCACAUCUCAACAGCCAAAGACUGAUGCACUUCGGAACACUCUGCAGAAGGUUUCGUUCCCUCUGGGUGCACAGCGUCCAAAAUAACUUCUCAACACAUGUACUUUUUCAUGCUGGACUAAUUUACCUAGGAAAUGCUUGGAGAAUAGGCAUUUGCUUACAACAAUCAAGGUUAGAUCAGAUUGGGUUCAAGAACUUGGCUUCACCUGGGAUUGAAGAAUAUGGUUGGAGGAAGAAAAUUAUGUGAGAUGAAGACAAAUUUUAAUAAGGGUAUUAUUUUUAUUGUUUAUUAUUUUUUAUUUAUUUUAAACAAAAAUUAGCAACUACCAAAGCUUUGGGGUCCAUUAUGUUCGUUUGUUUUUCUAUUAGGCCGUGAAGUCCAAUUAAAAAAGAGUAAGGUCAAAAUCAAUAGGGCAUUGUCGAGAAGUCACACUAGAAAGUGACUUAAUUGUCCACUUUGCAUAUUUGCAAAUUGCAAGUGCUAACUUUAUUUGGGAAAAUAGCCUAGCCAGAUAUCUUCAUUCAAUCAUGUAACUUUCUGGUGAAACUAUUCUACCCUUUUCUUCCGGGUAGAGCAAGAUCUCGGCCCUCGAUUCUCAACUCUCGACCUCUGACUCUCGAGUAUUCAAAAUCAACUACUUUGCCUCGUUCUAUCGUUGUAUUGUAAGAGAUCUCGAGCUGAAAUCUCGGGCUAAAAUAAUUAAAAUGUUAAUAACUUCUUUCAUAUCUUUUAGAUUAACCAUAUUAGAUUUUUAUUUUAUAAUAACUUGGUCAUCUUAUAAAAUUGAAAUUUAUUCAAUAUCGAUCAUUCUAUAUCGUGUCAACUCUUGUCUUUGUAGUCCUAUGCAGUGCAAUAUUGGAGUAUGGCGACAUUAUAAGGAAAGUUGGAAAAAAGAUUGUAAGUUGUAACAAGCAGAUAGUUGUUUUGUCACUAUCAAUUUUAGAGGGAUUUACUAUUUGCUUGACUUGGUAACAUCCUAAAAAGUAGAAUGGGACAAUAAAAAUCAUAUGUGCCCAUGGGCCAUAAGCCCGAUUAUUCUUUCUACUUACACAUUUUGUUGUAUGAGACAGUUUUACUGAGACGCACUUCACACAUGGGAUAAAUAGUACAUCUCAUAUAUAUUAUGAGAAUAUAGACUCUUUAUUUGAGGUCGUCUCACUGAAAGAUAGUCCCUCAUAAGAGUAGCUCUUCUACUUAAAAGUUACUUUCUCUGUAUACAAGAGAUUGUUAUAAUUUUUAUUUUUAUUUGUUAUUUUAAAAUUUAUAAUAUUUCUAUUUUACGUAGUAUUUUCAUCACUAUCUUAAAUUUCUCUCUACAUAUUUCUAUUUUCACUAUUCAUACAAGUUAAUGAGAUCAUAUCCACUUUUCUUAAUAAUUAUGCUAAUUGCAUAUUGUUGUAGCAUAUUAGACACCGAAUGAGUAGUCAGCUACCACUAAACGGUAAAGGGUAAAAGCAUCUGUAUGUGGUAACUCGAAUUAGGUUAUUUAUUUAGCCCACCAUCAUGGUAUCGACACGAUAGAAUAAGAUAGUUGAUACUUCAUAUAAUUUUUUUUGUGAAUGAGAUGGAAUAGUUAUGUGUGAAUGAGAUCAAAAAAUAAAUUAAGAAUAUAGAUAAGAUUCAGAGAGUAUAUAAAAUAAAGUGAAAGUUUUUUAAAAGUUAAAUUUACGACAAAUUUUAAAAACUGAUAGGAGUGAAUAGAGGAAAUGCAUUCUGACAUAUUAUGUAAAAAUUAACUUAUUGGUAAAAUAAGUAAUAUGCGCCCCAAGAAUUUGAAACACAUUGAUGCUCCUAUGAAUUGUAGUUCAACUACAUAACUAUUUGACUACCAUAGAUGGGUCAAGUUUAGAGUUAUUCUACUCCACUACCACUAAUUGGAAUGCUAAGAUGCUUCUACCUCAGUGGACUCUUAUUUAAGAAUUAUUUUUUUCGUGAUAGCAUAAUUUAUUAAGUG